rnacentral:sRNA from 1 species
AUCAAGAGUUGUAAAACGCUUACAAAAAAAGACGGUUAAAGGGGAGUUUACAAAAUGGGAACAAUCGUAUGUCAAACAUGUAACUGCACAAUUGAUCAUUUCGAAGAUGAGAAAGUGACGCGAUUAUACUCAACAUGUAAAAGCGGAGAAUGUCAAAAAGCAGAUGAAGAUUUAGAUUAAUUCAAUAAAAAAAGGUGCGGAAAUUCGCACCUUUUUUUUAU